rnacentral:rRNA from 1 species
AGAGUUUGAUCCUGGCUCAGGAUGAACGCUGGCGGCGUGCCUAACACAUGCAAGUCGAGCGUGAUUAAGUGGAGUGGAGACUUCGGUCAAAGCAAAACUUAUGAAAGCGGCGGACGGGUGAGUAACGCGUGGGUAACCUGCCCCAUACAAAGGGAUAGCCACUGGAAACGGUGAUUAAUACCUUAUAAGUCGGUAGUCUCGCAUGAGACAGCCGACAAAGAUUUAUCGGUAUGGGAUGGACCCGCGUCUGAUUAGCUAGUUGGUGAGGUAACGGCUCACCAAGGCGACGAUCAGUAGCCGACCUGAGAGGGUGAUCGGCCACACUGGAACUGAGACACGGUCCAGACUCCUACGGGAGGCAGCAGUAGGGAAUUGUUCGCAAUGGGCGCAAGCCUGACGACGCAACGUCGCGUGGAGGAUGAAGGGCUUCGGCUCGUAAACUCCUUUCGACCGAGAUGAACAUCUACGGGGUUAAUACCCCUGUGGACUGACAGUAUCGAGGGAAGAAGCCCCGGCUAACUCCGUGCCAGCAGCCGCGGUAAUACGGGGGGGGCAAGCGUUGUUCGGAAUUACUGGGCGUAAAGGGUUCGUAGGUGGCCAACUAAGUCAUGCGUGAAAUCCCUCAGCUUAACUGGGGAACUGCGUUUGAU